GAUGAACGCUGGCGGCGUGCCUAAUACAUGCAAGUCGAGCGAACAGACGAGGAGCUUGCUCCUCUGACGUUAGCGGCGGACGGGUGAGUAACACGUGGAUAACCUACCUAUAAGACUGGGAUAACUUCGGGAAACCGGAGCUAAUACCGGAUAAUAUAUUGAACCGCAUGGUUCAAUAGUGAAAGACGGUUUUGCUGUCACUUAUAGAUGGAUCCGCGCCGCAUUAGCUAGUUGGUAAGGUAACGGCCUACCAAGGCGACGAUGCGUAGCCGACCUGAGAGGGUGAUCGGCCACCCUGGAACUGAGACACGGUCCAGACUCCUACGGGAGGCAGCAGUAGGGAAUCUUCCGCAAUGGGCGAAAGCCUGACGGAGCAACGCCGCGUGAGUGAUGAAGGUCUUCGGAUCGUAAAACUCUGUUAUUAGGGAAGAACAAAUGUGUAAGUAACUAUGCACGUCUUGACGGUACCUAAUCAGAAAGCCACGGCUAACUACGUG
rnacentral:rRNA from 1 species